rnacentral:rRNA from 1 species
AGCGAACGCUGGCGGCAGGCUUAACACAUGCAAGUCGAACGGUCCUUCGGGAUAGUGGCGGACGGGUGAGUAACACGUGGGAACGUACCCUUAGGUUCGGAACAACACAGGGAAACUUGUGAUAAUACCGGAUAAGCCCUUCGGGGGAAAGAUUUAUCGCCUUUGGAGCGGCCCGCGUCUGAUUAGGUUGUUGGUGAGGUAAUGGCUCACCAAGGCUACGAUCAGUAGCUGGUCUGAGAGGAUGGCCAGCCACACUGGGACUGAGACACGGCCCAGACUCCUACGGGAGGCAGCAGUGGGGAAUCUUGCGCAAUGGUCGAAAGCCUGACGCAGCCAUGCCGCGUGGAUGAUGAAGGUCUUAGGAUUGUAAAAUCCUUUCACCGGGGACGAUAAUGACGGUACCCGGAGAAGAAGCCCCGGCUAACUUCGUGCCAGCCGCCGCGGUAA